CCAGCUGGCAGCUCUUUUCAUGUCCUCAUUAAGCUGCCCACCAAAGUGGUACCCAUCUAUCUACUCACAGUCACCUGCUUUUGAACUUCUGGGUCAGCAAGAGUUGGAGUGAGUGAUGGGAGUUCAUCCCAUCCCAUGGUAGCAACUGGAUAGCAACUUGAGCCUCUCAAUCAUCAGCCUAGUGUCCUAACCACUUGAGCCACUGCAUUCCUCUCCUAUCAUGCUUAGUAGUAUUUAUAACCUUAUUAUCACAGUUCCUCUCAAUUUUGCAUUGGAUUGCAGACUGUAUCUAGAACAUCUAUUCUAUACACCACAUUGAUAAACUGGAGGGUGCCCAAGAGACAGCCAUCAAGGUGAUAAAGGUCUGGAAAAAGUGUGUAUGAGGAAUGGUUGGAGAUAAUGGAUCUGUUUAGCCUAGGCUGACAUAUAGAAGAUGGAGCAGAACUGAACAACUGAGGACAAAAUGAGGCUUAAAUUGCAUAGAUUUUGGCUGGACAUCAGGGAAAAAAUCAUCUUAAUGAGGCAGGAAUGUUUCUUGAUCCCAAGAGAAUAUUGAAAGGAAAAGAAAAACUUGAGGUCAAUAUUUAAGAAUAAUUUCUUUAAGUGCUCUGAAGGGUCCAUCAGUUUUUACAAAGCAGCUUCUCAGGAGGUACAAGGAAAAAAGGAGAAAUGAUGCAAAUCACCUUCUUUCCAAUGGGAUUACCCUGUGAAUAGAAUUCUGGGUGCAACCCAUUGGAAUGUACACAGGUCCAAACAACAGGAUACUGUAUGCAAGGAAAA